AUGCCAUUUCAGGAUUGCAUUAGGGCAAUAUAUGGUACUCAUGCCACUGCCAAAGUGUCGAGGUCACAGUCUGCAACAUACAGGGGUAGAAACCACUACACAAGCCAGAAUGUUAUUGUUGUUGUUGACUUCGAUCUGAAGUUCACAUAUGUGCUGGUUGGUUGGGAAGGAUCAUCACAUGAUGCUAACACUCUCAGUGAUAGUAUGAGUCGUCCUAAUGGCAUCAACAUCCUCGAUGGCAAGUUCUACCUAGGAGAUGCUGGCUAUGCAUGUCGUUCAGGUGUUCUUCCACCCUUCAGGAAAACCAGGUACCAUAUGAACAAGUUCGCCGGUAGGAACUAUAUAUACUAG
rnacentral:rRNA from 1 species